rnacentral:rRNA from 1 species
AGGAAAUAGCUUGCUAUUUUGCUGACGAGUGGCGCACGGGUGCGUAACGCGUAUACAAUCUACCUUUUGCUGAGGGAUAGCCCAGAGAAAUUUGGAUUAAUACCUCAUGGUAUAUUGAUAGGCAUCUAUUAAUAAUUAAAGGUUACGGCAAAAGAUGAGUAUGCGUCCCAUUAGCUAGUUGGUGAAGUAACGGUUCACCAAGGCAACGAUGGGUAGGGGUCCUGAGAGGGAGAUCCCCCACACUGGUACUGAGACACGGACCAGACUCC